rnacentral:rRNA from 1 species
GUAGGUGGCAAGCGUUGUCCGGAAUUAUUGGGCGUAAAGCGCGCGCAGGCGGUCCUUUAAGUCUGAUGUGAAAGCCCACGGCUCAACCGUGGAGGGUCAUUGGAAACUGGGGGACUUGAGUACAGAAGAGGAAAGCGGAAUUCCAAGUGUAGCGGUGAAAUGCGUAGAGAUUUGGAGGAACACCAGUGGCGAAGGCGGCUUUCUGGUCUGUAACUGACGCUGAGGCGCGAAAGCGUGGGGAGCAAACAGGGAUUAGAUACCCUGGUAGUCCACGCCGUAAACGAUGAGUGCUAAGUGUUAAGGGGGGUUUCCCGCCCCCCUUAGUGCUGCAGCUAACGCAUUAAGCACUCCGCCUGGGGAGUACGGCCGCAAGGCUG